AUUGAACGCUGGCGGAAUGCUUUACACAUGCAAGUCGAGCGGCAGCGCGGCCUUCGGGCUGGCGGCGAGCGGCGAACGGGUGAGUAAUGCAUCGGAACAUGCCCAGUCGUGGGGGAUAACACUUCGAAAGAAGUGCUAAUACCGCAUACGUCCUGAGGGGGAAAGCGGGGGAUCGCAAGACCUCGCGCGAUUGGAGUGGCCGAUGUCAGAUUAGCUAGUUGGUGGGGUAAAGGCCUACCAAGGCGACGAUCUGUAGCUGGUCUGAGAGGAUGAUCAGCCACACUGGGACUGAGACACGGCCCAGACUCCUACGGGAGGCAGCAGUGGGGAAUUUUGGACAAUGGGGGCAACCCUGAUCCAGCCAUUCCGCGUGAGUGAAGAAGGCCUUCGGGUUGUAAAGUUCUUUCGGCAGGAACGAAACGGUGGGCUCUAACAUAGUCCGCUAAUGACGGUACCUGAAGAAGAAGCACCGGCUAACUACGUG
rnacentral:rRNA from 1 species